UGGGGGAUAGCUUUGCGCUGCUCCCUUAUUUAUGUGCCCAGUACAACUCAGGAACGUCUCUUCCUACAUGCUUUCCACAUCCCCCUUCUUUGUACAUUAAGCUCAACCCCAGGAGCACCUCUGGCAAUGCAGAGGUUGGGUAUAUUUGUCUUCCUACUCGCAGGGGCGACUGGGAGGUCGGGGGAGGUUUUCAGACAGUUCAGUGUUAUGCAAAUGUAAUUCAUGACAUGCAGAAUCAUUCAUUUGAAGUUGUCUUAAAAUAACAGCUGAUGCUGUUUGGGCCGCGCACAGAUCUGCUUCUGUGGAUGGGAACAAAUUAAAAGUACAUUCACUGGAAAGCUUGGGUUGAUAGAGAUGCUCCUGAAAAGCUGGGGGGUGAUUGCAGCCACUCCAGGCCUCUGUGCUGAUCAGGUUUGAAGAUAGAGGCUUGGUGGAAAAGGCAACAAAUAAUGUUGAAUCUCUGAAUCUCUGGUUUAGUCCUCUCACUACCUUUCACUGGAUCCAAUGAAACUGAAUCGAACAAGUCGACUGUGCGGGCCAAUAUUCUUGAAAUUGUGUCAUGUUUCACUGCUGUAUUGAGUUCCUUGUGUUCCUUGUAGCUGUUGCACCUGCAGACAGGUGAUUGACAGGUGUGAUUGUACACAAUGUCAUCCUUCGGGGGACGGUAAUUCCAGAUUUCAUUCAUACAGUCUGCUCUGCAAAAAUAAAAAAAACUAAUGAUACCUCCACCGAAAUCAUCUGAAUCCUACCUUUUACUUCCAUAGACUGUACAGCACCCUCUGGUGACGGGCUGCAGUAUAGGUCAUAAAUCCCACAUCCUCCAACAAUCCCUAUGGAGUUUGGGACAAUCUUUAGAAAUGUAUUACACAGAAUAUAAUUUUUUUACAUUUGCCAAUUCCUACCGGAUCUGUUUGUGAGGCGAAUUUCGUGGCGGAUUACGGACAGCAGGAAUCGCGAGAACUCACAAGAACCCGCGGAUUUACAUGCAAGCGCGCAUUAAUAAGUUGUCUUUAGCCACAUAGGCUAACCAAAUAAGCAGUAGAUUGUGUCCUUUCAGAAGAGGAAAUCUACUUCUAGACUUAUAAAAUCAGCAUCUCCUCAUCCAUGGUGUCAUCGGUAUGAAAUGCUGUCUAUAAACUUUUCACUUGUUCGUCCCCGCCCGUUUGCAUAGUGUGAAAUAUGAUCCGUCUGAAACACAGUGUUUUAUUUUGAAAAAAAGCUGGAUGUUUUAUUUUGUGUCUGUGCCUGACUUCCUUUCCAGCACGGUUAAUCUGUGCUGAAUUUAUCUGGCGUGCUCCGGUGUCCAGAAAAACUAGAACUCUUGCGAUCAGCUGCGGAGUCCAGCGAUCCACAGCGGAACGGAGUGAAGCCAGUGAAAAUUGACACUGAACCUUGAAUGGUUACAAUCAGCUAUAAUCGGCGGAUAUGGCCUUUUUGUAGCCGUUCCAGAUGCUUUGAAAAUUGGGGGUAAGACUGGUUUGUGCUCAAGUCCUCUUUUUUUCUGUGCCCCUCUAUUUUUAAAGGUUAUUGGGGGUUCACGUUUUCUGUGAUUGACACUUGAUACAGCUUAUGGGCGUAUGAAGAUUGCGUAGCUCACCUGGGAUACGCUGUUUGAGCCUAGCGUCAUCACAGCGACUCUCCUAACAAAUGCGUACAACACGACUGCACAACUGGUGGUUCCAGGAAGGGGAGAAAAUCCUGGAAAUAUCGAGAGCAAUUCGGCUUCAAAUUCGUAUAAUGAUGGAAGGUGAAGCCAAGCUGUUCAUAGAAUAUACAGUCUAUGGUUACUUCACAUAAAAUAUGAAGGCUAGUUCUCUGUUAGUUGCAGCAUUAAAAGUAAUGAUGCAUAUUUGUGUUUGCUGGUAGCAAGAACCUCUUUGUGUCCUAAAUAAUCCUAAAUAAUGUGCAGCCUUUUUACCCACGGACUGGGUUAGUAUUUAGUUCCAGUGUAUUAUAGCAUGAUUACAUUGUGAUGCAUGUCUUUCCAACACAUAAAAAGAACAGAGAAUAAUUCACUUAUUGUGCUUGUUUAUUUCACCCCUACCCUCUUAUUUUUGGAGCUCUGAAAACCAUCUCACCCACAUCGUAUCUCAAAGAACAGAUUUCCCCUGAGUCGCCUGAUUACGUGUAUAAGUUGGAAGUUGGAGCCAAAUAUGCAGCCAACAAAUUAAAGUUGUAUAAAAGUGUAUAAGUUUUCAAAGCAGUAAAUUUGUCUCGUACUCAAACUUAGCUCAAAAUUUCUAAAGGAUCUUUGUGUAACCUUGAAGAACAAUUAUAUGAAUUUAGAGUUUUUAUUUUUACAUAUAAAGGAAAGAUAAGUAAGCCUUUGGGACUUGAAAAUGGCACUUUCAUUUUGCUGUGAAGUGUUUCGUAUUUACCAAAAAGUAGGUUAUCAAUAUCGGAUUGAAAAAGAACAGAUAUUCACAAGAGAAGAAAUGCCGCCGAAGAAGAUUGGGAGAUUUUCUCAAAUUGUGGAGUGAUUUUUCUGAGUCAGGCAGACAAUCAUCGAUUUAGACUCCUCGAUAUUUAUACGUCAUGUAACCAUAGUCACAUAAAGUCCUAGUUUCUGCAGGAUGAAGAGAGUAGUCCCAAAGCUUCCAAGCGUCUCAGAGCUCUACACCUUCAUAAAGUGAGCUUUAUUUAGCUGUGGGUGUGACUUCAAACACAGUUUGAUCUGUGGUGAAGAGGAAGUUUGGAGGGACCUGUCUGAAGAAGGCCCGCUGAGUAACAGGACGGCUCGAUGCCAAAAGCUAAUUUCUCUGUGUUAUUAUGAAAGUGACCAUUUUCCAUCACUCUCUUUUUCCGUUUGUGCAGGUAAGUAGCUUUGAUGCAUCACCUGAGCUCUUGACCCCGACUUUUUCAGCGACCAAACGAAGAUGAAGUCAUCAGAGUCGCCUGUGCUUCCUCUGCUUUAAACAUGAAUUACAUGGAGUCAGUUUCAGAGCACUUUUAAUCAGGCCGGCUCCUUCUGGGAGAGGGAAAAUUCUGCCAACUUUGUUUUCGUCUAUAAUGUUUGAGACCAGUGAACAUCUGAUGCCAGUUCUUGAUUGAUCACUCUCCAUAAAACAGGGAUGGUUUCUGGUUUGUUGAGGCUGCUCGUUGAUCAUUCUGCUGUUUUGUGACUUGCUGUCCAGAUGCUCUAUGCUGAGAGUGGGCACAGUCCAUUGACACUGCUGAUGCUGCAGUGAGGAGCUCUGAGGAUACUGCCAGUGCUGCUUUCUGGCCCUCUAGCCAUAGCAGAUGAUUGUGCUCGCUCUGUAAUUUCCUCAAUUUAGAGACUGUCAGAGGGUCCUCCACUCACCAUUUGCUCUUCUAGGACUUUUAGAGACCCAUUGUUGCAAGAUAAAUGUUGUUACAAACAGCCAGCUUCAGCCUGGAAAAGUUUGCAGGACACAGACUUUACAUUUUAUUGGCCUUAUGGUUGUAAAGCCUCUGGGACUGUGACUCACGGAGUCAAAAUAUCAGAAUUGUGGAUCUUAUUGAGAGUCUGUUUGGUGUUUAGACUGCUUUUCUAGACCAAAUCAUGAAUGAGUCAGCCCCAGACACUCCACUCUCUGCAUUCCUAUGUGAGUGUGUGGCUGUGUGUGUGGUUGUGUGUGUGUGUCCUUGCCUUGAUUGGUCUCACCUGUGCCUGAUUAGUCUCCCCUCUCCAGUGUAUUAGGUCUAUGUGUUUCUCUUUCCCACUGUCAGUUCACAUUAGUACCAUGAGCAUAGCUACUCCGAGUUUUGUCCCGGAGUUUUUAGACCUCUCCUUUUCCCUCUGGACCUCUCCUGUUUUAGUUAUUCUGGUUUUGGAUUGGUUUGCUUUGUUGGGCUGUGCUCCUG
rnacentral:lncRNA from 1 species